AACAGAACAUAAACAUUAUGAUGAUUGCCUUGGAAGGAGAUGAUUAGUCCUGACACUCUUAAGAACGUGAUACCAUUACUCAUGCCAACAUUAACUGUCCCUCACGAUUAGACCUAGGAAGGUGACCCACACACACUCCCGCUAUGAAUGUUACACCCUCCGUUAUUGAUGUUACAGUCUAAAAUAGACAUUCAAAUAAAAAUAAUUUGGAAUGUUAAAAAAAAUGUAAACGGAAGUUGCAAAACCUUAGAAUUGCAUAAUUAUAGGUAGACACCACACCCUGACAGGUAGACACCACACCCUAACAGGUAGACACCACACCCUGACAGGUAGACGCCACACCCUGACAGGUAGACACCACACCCUGACAGGUAGACACCACACCCUAACAGGAAGCCUGAAUAGUAGACAAGCCAGACACCACACCCUGACAGGUAGACACCACACCCUGACAGGUAGACACCACACCCUGACAGGUAGACACCACACCCUGACAGGUAGACACCACACCCUAACAGGUAGACACCACACCCUAACAGGUAGUCACCACACCCUGACAGGUAGACUCCACACCCUGACAGGUAGACUCCACACCCUGACAGGUAGACACCACACCCUGACAGGUAGACACCACACCCUAACAGGAAGCCUGAAUAGUAGACAAGCCAGACACCACACCCUGACAGGUAGACACCACACCCUAACAGGAAGCCUGAAUAGUAGACAAGCCAGACACCACACCCUAAAUAGGUGUCAUAGGUGUCAGAUAGGAUCAUCUAGAACAGAGGUCCAGAGCCUGCUGCUCUUCUGUUCUACCUGGUAAUUCAUUGCACCUACCUGGUGUCCCAGGUCUAAAUGAGUCCCUGACUAAAGGGGAAUCACCUACCUGGUGUCCCAGGUCUAAAUGAGUCCCUGACUAAAGGGGAAUCACCUACCUGGUGUCCCAGGUCUAAAUGAGUCCCU